rnacentral:rRNA from 1 species
AGAGUUUGAUCAUGGCUCAGAGUGAACGCUGGCGGCAGGCCUAAUACAUGCAAGUCGAACGGCAGCACAGCAGAGCUUGCUCUGUGGGUGGCGAGUGGCGGACGGGUGAGGAAUACAUGGGAAUCUGCCCAGUCGUGGGGGAUAACGUAGGGAAACUUACGCUAAUACCGCAUGCGCCCUUCGGGGGAAAGCCGGGGACCUUCGGGCCUGGCGCGAUUGGAUGAGCCCAAGUCGGAUUAGCUAGUUGGCGGGGUAAUGGCCCACCAAGGCGACGGUCCGUAGCUGGUCUGAGAGGAUGAUCAGCCACACUGGAACUGAGACACGGUCCAGACUCCUACGGGAGGCAGCAGUAGGGAAUAUUGGACAAUGGGCGCAAGCCUGAUCCAGCCAUGCCGCGUGAGUGAAGAAGGCCCUCGGGUUGUAAAGCUCUUUUGUCCGGAAAGAAAAGCGCCGGGUUAAUACCCUAGUGUCCUGACGGUACCGGAAGAAUAAGCACCGGCUAACUUCGUG